AAUAUGAAAAUUCGUGUAACAUAAAAUUUUCCAUCUAAAAAAUGGUUAAAAUUUAAAACAGCAAACCCAUCUAACUUUUAUUAACCCAGUUGAAUGGCAGUCAACAGUCCCAUUUACCAUGCAAUCCAACUUCAAAACUCUACAGAUGGGCAGCAUUCAUGAUACAUCUACCUCACAUGUCGCAUAAUUUCAGGAUUGAUUUCUGGCUAUCACCUCAUCUACAAGUAAACUUUACCCUUAUAGAAUAUUGAUUAUUAUAAUUAUUAUAAAUCACAGUGCCCCAAUUGGGCUAAUCUUAAUUGACAAUUGAUUAUACUCUGAAACUUGACUUUGAAAGCAUUUCUAUAUAAAUAGCAUGCUGCAUGCACCAUGGCAACUCUCUUUACUCAAACCAAACAAAUUCAGAAAGCGUCGGCAACAUUUUGUUGCCAUUUCUUGUCUCGCCAUGGACAUCGACCACUGGUGCAGCGGCUACGAUCGCAUUAAUAUUUCGCUUAACGGAAUGGUUUCAGGAUCAAAAACACCAAGAUGGAGAGUCCUCUGGAGGAAGAUAAUGAGAGAAAAGAAACGAAUUUUCGACUGUUCAUCAAGUAGCUGUACUCGUGUGCAUGAGCCUUAUGAUCCUUUAUCUUAUUCUCGAAACUUUGAUGAUCAGGGGUUGAUGUGGGCUGAUCCUGAUAACGUUUCCAGAUCUUUUUCUGCUCGGUUUGCCGUUCCUUCAAGAGUUUUUCAGAAUAGUGGUGGAUUUCAGCUGGUCUGAUCAUGAAUAUUGAUGUGAGAAUUGAAAAAACUAAACUGUAUGUAACUUUUGGCUUUUUAGUUUUAAUGUUUCUUCACUUUGCCCUUUACAGUUAUUUUAUAAUAUGAAGAGUUGCAUCUUAUCAUGUUUAUCAUCUUCUUGGCUGUUUGUUUUUGGCUUAUCUUCCAUCAACUUGAUAUUGUUUUAAACGGAAGUUUUGAUUUUAUUAUUUGGCGUCAAUGCAGCUGCAUUUUCGGUGCUAAUCUGAGAGUUAUUAAAAUCGUAUUCAUAAGAAUCCUAAUUUAGUGGCCCAGCUGACACUUCUUCAAUGGGGAACCAGCUGUUUUGCUUAGAAAAAUGACAUGAAAGCAUGUGCAAAACAAUGUAAACAUUCUAAACUAACUUCAAACUAAACAUAAUCAAAACCUUGGUCUUGUUUUAAGGGUUUUGUCAGCACGUAAUUUGAUUCAUUUUAAGAUAAGAACAUGAUUUAAAGUGUUUUAAUUGCUGUAAAAAUUCCUGCCGUCUUAAAUUCUUCAAAAUCCCUUUAACAUUAAAAUAUCGAUCUCUGCAUUGGAUUCUUUUAUUGGUAGGGACACAGGAUUUGACUAUUCACAUUUGCAACCCUAUCUCCAAGGACCCAUCUGUCUCCAUUGCUAUGAAUAUUGAAUGUAGAAUUCUAUUGGCCAGAAAAGUCUUAGAAGGUUCACGUUCAGAUCACAGCCAUGAAUUAGUCCACUUAAGGAAGCAAUCAGUUGAAGCUUCAAGUCUCAUUAAAAUGUGCACUUUCUACGGUGGGAAAGUGAUGAUAGGAAAUUAUUGACCGGAAGAGUUUUUGGGAUCUAAUCAAAAGCCGGAACCACUGAAUUCAGAAAUAAUCUGCUUGAUGGCUUAGUAUAUAACUGUUCCUGAUAAUUUCAGCAUUUUAUAUUGAGUAAAUGUGAGAAAUGAUUUCUUUUCCAAGAGAUAAGAACAUUUAUGAACAC